rnacentral:rRNA from 1 species
CCACCCGUUCCCAUGCCGAACACGGACGUUAAGCUCUUCAGCGCCGAUGGUAAUCGGGCGGAAACGCCCCGUGAGCGUAGGACGUCGCCUGGC